rnacentral:rRNA from 1 species
GGCGCACGGGUGCGUAACGCGUAUGCAAUCUACCUUAUACUAGAGUAUAGCCCAGAGAAAUUUGGAUUAAUCCUCUAUAAUAUCUUUAAGUUUCAUGACUUAUUGAUUAAAGUUUUAACGGUAAAAGAUGAGCAUGCGUCCUAUUAGUUUGUAGGUGAGGUAACGGCUCACCUAGACUACGAUAGGUAGGGGUUCUGAGAGGAUGACCCCCCACACUGGUACUGAGAUACGGACCAGACUUC